rnacentral:lncRNA from 1 species
CAUUAUUAGGAGCGGCGGUACUGAACUAUCGCUCGCUGUUGUUGCUGCUGCUCCUGCCUACCUGCCUGCCUGCCUGCCUUUACAUGGGCGAAGAAGGCACUUUCCAAAGAUUGGGCUUGCUUUGAAAAAAAAGAAGCUGAGUUAGAGGCUGCAAAGAAUAUGCUGUUGGAACCAUACUUUCAAUUUUAAAUUGGUCAUAUCCUUCUAUGGAAUGUUUACUAACAAUUCAAAGGAAGAACGGAAGAAAACCAGAUUGGACUUUUAGUUCCACCAAGAACCAAUUGGUAAUGGAUAACAUCUAAUUUGUUAGCUAAAUCCCAGAUGCCGUAGAAGGAAGUGGAAAAGGUGAAGCAGAGCACUGAUUGGAU